ensembl:lncRNA
UUUUUUAUUGGUCGGCAUGAAAAAAAACAUAAGGGGCAACACUGUUGUUUUUUAUUGGUCGUAAUGAAAAAUAAAACAUAAGGGGUAACACUGUUGUUUUUUAUUGGUCGGCAAAAAAAAAAACAUAAGGGGUAACACUGUCGUUUUUUAUUGGUCGUCAUGAAAAAAAACAUAAGGUUUUAUUUAUUAACUUUUUUUACUUUUAUCAUUUGGUUUUUUAUUAAGUCAUUUUACAUUAAUAAGUUCUAAUUUAUAAAUAUAAACAAACCAAAUAAAAAUAAAAAAACCAAAUAAAACGUAAUAACAAAUAAACCAAAAAUAAAUGAUAACCAAAUUAAUCUACUCCUCUACGCCUUCCGCAAAAACACAUGGAUAUUGAAUGUCAUCUUCCUCCAUAGAAUUCAGCAGUCCCCAUAACUCUGGCGACCGCAACAGUCCAUGGUCAACAUGGAAAAAACAUGAGGGGUAACUGUCGUUUUUUAUUGGUCGUCAUGAAAAAAAACAUAGGGGGUAACAGUGUCGUUUUUUAUUGGUCGUCAUGAAAAAAAACAUAAGGGGUAACACUGUUGUUUUUUAUUGGUCGUCAUGAAAAAAAAACAUAAGGGGUAACACUGUUGUUUUUUAUUGGUCGUCAUGAAAAAAAACAUAAGGGGUAACACUGUCGUUUUUUAUUGGUCGUCAUGAAAAAAAACAUAAGGGGUAACACUGUCGUUUUUUAUUGGUCGUCAUGAAAAAAAACAUAAGGGGGUAACACUGUUGUUUUUUAUUGGUCGUCAUGAAAAAAAACAAGGGGUAACACUGUUGUUUUUUAUUGGUCGUCAUGAAAAAAAACAUAAGGGGUAACACUGUUGUUUUUAUUGGUCGUCAUGAAAAAAAAAAACAUAUUGGUCAACAUGAAAAAACACUGUUGUUUUUUUUUGGUCGUCGUCAUGAAAAAAAACAUAGGGGUAACACUGUUGUUUUUUAUUGGUCGCCAUGAAAAAACAUAAG